UAUUGGGACUAAAUUUCAUAUCACAUAUUUGGUGCAGGCUGAAUCGGUGGAUUGUUUAUUGGAGCGGCUGGGUCUUCAAAAAUAUUCAAGUAUAUUCAAAAAUGAGGAAAUUGAUAUGACAAUUCUUAUACACAUGACUGAUGAGGAUCUCGAGUCUAUAGGAUUACCAAAGGGUCCAAUAAAGAAGAUAUUCAGCAAUUUGACAUUCGGAAGUUGACUAGACUCCUUCCCAAUUUUUUUUACAGUGGGAGAUUUUUCACAUGGAAACAGUCUGGCUGCGGCCCAAGACCUUGUAAUGGCAGGAGGUUUGCCCUAUAUUUUGUAUGCAAACUUCAAGUUGGUGUUU